CUUGGUGUUUCUUGGUCUCUUUAGCACCACUCCUGCCUCAGGACCUUUGCAUGAUCCCUUCGCCAGCAUCACUUCAGACAUCUCCACAGCUGACCCUCUGCUCCUCAGGGACUUGUCAUCUCACUGCUCCCUUCCAUGUCUCCGGGUGUCUUCCAAGCAGAGGCUCUGUAAGCCCACACAGCAUGUUGGGAAGGUCAGACCGACUUCCCUCUUCACAGAGGACACUGGGCCCAGCUGGCCAACCCAAUCAUUUGUCCAGCAGAUGAGGGAUUCGAGCUCCUGCUGACUCCAAAGUGUGGAGGUGCUGGGAAUAGAGGCGCAAAGAUUUCUGAACUCACAAGACCCCGAACAGAACCCCUACCCAAGAGGACCCUGAGGCUUAUAUUACAGAACCUUAUAUUAUAGAUGCUCAAGAGUGAGCCUGAAGUUUGGUCUACACCAGGGCAGUUAUGUGGUUAAUUGCACCAGUGUGUGCAUUAGCUGGUAUAAUCAGCGAGUGAAUUAACUUCUGCUUUUCAAGCUGUAUUUUAAAGGCAGUUUUUUUAAAUGCCG
rnacentral:lncRNA from 1 species